rnacentral:lncRNA from 1 species
CCCGGUCCCGCGAGGUCCUUCGCUGGCGGGUGGGCGGGGGAAGAGUGGGCUCCGCAGGCCGGAGCUAGACGAGCACCCGGCGCACCGCUCGGGCUCCCGGGAGGUGGCCCUGGGCGUCCCCUUUCUGCCACCGCCGCGGCGCCGGCUGCUUUAUGCGUAGCUGGGCAGGCCCCGGGCCCCCACACCGCCUCUCCCGGGAAUGCGGGCGCUCUGGAGCCGAGGAGCGGGGGCGUCCGCAAGGAGGUCAGCUCUCCGGGGCGGAGGUCCUCGGGCGCAGCGCCCUCGCCUGGAAACCAGCCGUCGCCCCAGCAGGAGCCAGCCGGCCCGUGGACGCCCCAGCGCGCUCCUUCUCGGUGCUGCCGGUCGUCCUGCAGUUCCGCGAGGAAGGAAAGCGGAUUUGGAGGAACAGGUUUCGUGACCGUCAUCAGACUGGAAAAGGCCCCGCGAGCUGGAAGGGAGGGGACGGGGGCACCCUCAGAGUUACUGCUGGAGGCUGUGGCCAGGCCGGGCAAGCCUUUGCCAAGUGUCACUGCUCCGCAUAAGGGAAAAUCAGAGGAACAAGCAAGUGCAUCCAUCCUGCCUCUCUCCCCAGUGAACUGAUAAACCCAUCAGUCUUGUCCGUGGUGCACCUGUUACAUCCCCGGGCGAUGUUGGAGACUGUGGGGAACAGCGGCCACCGCCAAAUACUCAGCGACUGCCCUGUGCCUGGUGGGUGGUAGGCGUUUGUCAGACUUUAAGCCUCACAAGCCUGUAAGGGUCUCAGCCCCCUUUACAGUUGGGGAAACAGACAGCAAUGGUCACUUGACCAAGUCCUCUUGGCCUGUGGCAGGGCAGCUGGCUUCUCCAGCACCCCUGCUCUUUACUCUCGCUCUGAGUGAGAUGCAGUUUCUGCACUACACGGCUCACAGGCCAGGGUAGGGAGCCGAGCAUCUGCAUAAAGGUGCCAGCACAGGGCACCCCCAGACUGAGGCUCAACUGAGUCAUCCAUGCGGCGGGAAUCGUGCAGGAGAGUGUCUGCUCAGGCGAGAAUUCAGGGAGAUUUGGGCAGGCCUUGAGGGGCGGGCAGGACUGGAGAGGGAGGGCAUUCUGGACAGAGGCAUGGCUGGAGGGUGAUAGGCGGCAGUGGAGGAAGCUGCAGUUAUCUGGGUGAGCAGGCGGUGAACAAGUGAUAUCUCCCGGCCUGCUGCCCCAGGCCCCCCUAGAAGCCGCGUUCUGGGCCCCGAGCCCUCCCCAGAGUAGAUCAGUGGGGGCUGUGUGAGCAACACGGGGGGCAAUUGGGCAGCGCCUCCCUGGAGGUCCCUCUGAAAUCCUGCCGGACGCUGGCAGGCUCCAAGGGGGCUGGACACCAUCCUCUCAGGUUGAAGCAAGUCCUGGCUGAGUUCCUAGUCCAGGAACUCAGGAGGGGCAAGGGGUGGAGGGCAGAGGAGAAACUGCGUCAGCGAUGUGCCCCCCACCUUCAUCCUCCAGACAGGGCUUGGGAGCGUCUGCGGGACCCCAAGAGAUUCCUCUUUAGGGAAGUUAUCCAGCCCUGGGGUCCCUUUA